GGGUGCGUAACGUGUAUAGAAUCUACCUCUUACUAAGGGAUAGCCCAGAGAAAUUUGGAUUAAUAUCUUAUAGUAUGUUAACUUGGCAUCAAGAUGACAUUAAAGGUUACGGUAAGAGAUGACUAUGCGUCCUAUUAGCUAGAUGGUGUGGUAACGGCACACCAUGGCAACGAUAGGUAGGGGCCCUGAGAGGGGGAUCCCCCACACUGGUACUGAGACACGGACCAGACUCCUACGGGAGGCAGCAGUGAGGAAUAUUGGACAAUGGAGGCAACUCUGAUCCAGCCAUGCCGCGUGCAGGAAGACUGCCCUAUGGGUUGUAAACUGCUUUUAUACAGGAAGAAACACUCUCACGUGUGAGAGCUUGACGGUACUGUAAGAAUAAGGAUCGGCUAACUCCGUGCCAGCAGCCGCGGUAAUACGGAGGAUCCAAGCGUUAUCCGGAAUCAUUGGGUUUAAAGGGUCCGUAGGUGGAUAAUUAAGUCAGAGGUGAAAUCCUGCAGCUCAACUGUAGAAUUGCCUUUGAUACUGGUUGUCUUGAGUUAUUAUGAAGUAGUUAGAAUAUGUAGUGUAGCGGUGAAAUGCAUAGAUAUUACAUAGAAUACCAAUUGCGAAGGCAGAUUACUAAUAAUAUACUGACACUGAUGGACGAAAGCGUGGGGAGCGAACAGGAUUAGAUACCCUGGUAGUCCACGCCGUAAACGAUGGUCACUAGCUGUUCGAACUUCGGUUUGAGUGGCUAAGCGAAAGUGAUAAGUGACCCACCUGGGGAGUACGUUCGCAAGAAUGAAACUCAAAGGAAUUGACGGGGGCCCGCACAAGCGGUGGAGCAUGUGGUUUAAUUCGAUGAUACGCGAGGAACCUUACCAGGGCUUAAAUGUAAAUUGACAGGUUUAGAAAUAGACUUUUCUUCGGACAAUUUACAAGGUGCUGCAUGGUUGUCGUCAGCUCGUGCCGUGAGGUGUCAGGUUAAGUCCUAUAACGAGCGCAACCCCUGUUGUUAGUUGCCAGCGAGUCAUGUCGGGAACUCUAACAAGACUGCCAGUGCAAACUGUGAGGAAGGUGGGGAUGACGUCAAAUCAUCACGGCCCUUACGUCCUGGGCUACACACGUGCUACAAUGGUAGGGACAGAGAGCAGCCACUGGGUGACCAGGAGCGAAUCUAUAAACCCUAUCACAGUUCGGAUCGGAGUCUGCAACUCGACUCCGUGAAGCUGGAAUCUCUAGUAAUCGCAUAUCAGCCAUGAU
rnacentral:rRNA from 2 species